rnacentral:lncRNA from 1 species
CUCCAAUCACAUGUAUGUUACACAUUUUGACCAUGUCCCACAUCUCUUGCAUGCUCUUGCCUUUUCGGUUCUGUUUUGUCUUUUUGCUACCUUUUAGAUAAACAACCAGUCCUCUAUAUCUGCAGAUUUCACAUACACACAUUCAGCCAACUGUGGUUUGAAAAUGUGAAUAAAAAUGUGUAUGCACUUUUUUUCUUGUCAUUAUUUUUUAAACAACACAGUAUUUACAGGUUGUUUACCCUAUAUUAACUAUUUUUUAUUUUUUAUUUUAUUUUUUUUUAUUUUUGACAGGCAGAGUGGACAGUGAGAGAGAGAGAGAGAGAGAGAGAGAGACAGAGUACCCUAUAUUAACUAUUGUAAAUCACCUGGAGAUUCUUCAGUCUGUAAGAGGAUAUCCACAGUAAAUAUGAAAAUACUAUGUCAUUGUACAUGAGGCACUGGAGUGCUGUGGAUUUUGCUAUCUAUGGGAGCUCCUGGAGCUACACUCAAUAUACCCAUCUUACUGUCUUCCAAACUCUUCCGUCUGCUAUGGCCAGUCUGCUGCUGAAUCCAUUCAGUGAGUUCUUGGGUCAGGCAAACUGAACCACCAGUUGUCAAUAUUACAGCCGCUGAACUAGAAUAUGAUGUUCUGGAAGUAUCUCUAAGUCUUGUUUAUCCAUCUUUAAAGCCUGACCUAGCAUCUCACACAUGGUCAGGGCUGGGUCCGUGGAUGUCUCCAAGUGAGUCUAAUGCCCUGGGAAAUGAUAAUCUACAAAUCUUCUAUUCUCCUCUGGGAAGAAACUCUAUUUUCACAGGCUUUUCCUCUUACAACAACAUAUAAAAAAGAUAAAAGAAGAUAAAAAGGUCAUUCAUGGUAAUCCUAUCAAAAUCUUAAAAAGCAAAAUGCUUUAUUAAAACAGCUAGUCCUUGAUAUUCCAUUAAGUCAGGUUUGACGAUAUAAACAAAAUCAGGUGCAGCAAGUCUGGAUCAUCCUCAUUGAUUUUGCUCUUUGGUCCACAAGCAAUACUGCGGGUUCUUCAAUGCACAAACUCUUCCCCACUGAUGUCUUUAGGGCCCCAGGUAUUCAUAAACUUGCUGCCCAGGAAAUUAUCAGGGAAAAAAAUUGAAAGUGUCCUGAAGAAACAGAAGACUCACUCGAGUUUAUACGCUUGUUCUUUGACAAGGAAAUUAAAAUAAACCUUGAAGCUAUACUCUAACUUUAUAUAUC